GUACGAGAGGACCGGAGUGGACGCAUCACUGGUGUUCGGGUUGUCAUGCCAAUGGCACUGCCCGGUAGCUAAAUGCGGAAGAGAUAAGUGCUGAAAGCAUCUAAGCACGAAACUUGCCCCGAGAUGAGUUCUCCCUGAGACUUUAAGUCUCCUGAAGGAACGUUGAAGACGACGACGUUGAUAGGCCGGGUGUGUAAGCGCAGCGAUGCGUUGAGCUAACCGGUACUAAUGAACCGUGAGGCUUAACCUUACAA
rnacentral:rRNA from 1 species